UCGUAAGUCGUUGUCAGGCACCGUGCCGGCAGCGGCGAGCUUCGUUCGUCCCGAAUGGAUGUGACGAGGUUUCACCCGAAAAAGGAA
rnacentral:ncRNA from 1 species